UGUGGAUGUGUGUGAGAGGUGAACUCAGGCUGUUUGUGGAUUGAAUUAAACUCACUUGACUUUCAGUCCACUGUAAUACACUGAAAAAAAAACCCUAGAUUUAUUUCAACUGAGUGUAAAUAGAUUUUAAUGACACGGCUCGUCUAUUUUUACUUUGUGGAAAGGUGACUGUCGAUCGCUGGCGCCUGCUUAACAAGAUCAUCUGAACUGAAUUAUAUUAUUAGCCAGAACUUCUCUAGCGCCUCCUUUAGGUCAGUUUUGGACUCUAAACGAUGUCUCUGCUAAUAAUAUUAGCUUUGUUUCUAAUUUAAGCAAAUGUUCCAAGAUGGAUGUUUGUUGUUAUCGUCAUAUGAUCUCUCCCAUCAUAAAAAUCAAUGUCAUACUCAGAACUGAUUAAGCUUUUGACUGAGGACAAUAAAAGUAGCAGGAAGAUGUAAACAUGAGCUGCUGCUCAACAUCACAAGACAGGAACACAGUUUCUCGUUGUCUCAGAUGGUGGUUUGGAAAAUGGUGCAAUGCCUUGGCUGCCGUUCCCAUCCCUCCAAGUCUGUCAAUUAGUGAUAAUGGACCCCAUCGGCAGAGAGAGGCCACUCCCUCACUCCUUCUACCCUCCCUCCUUCACACUUUCUCUCUCUCUGCCCGUCUUUCUUUCUACCUCUCAGUCAGUAAUAAUGGAGCCCGGCAGUCCAAAGAAGAUCCAGUUUGCUGUGCCUCCCCUGCAGGGACAGAUUGACCCACAGGCUGCUGAACAUAUCCGCCGCAGGAGACCGACCCCCGCCACCCUGCAGAUCUACAGACAACCUGGGACAGAUGUUGGAGAUCAACAAAACACCAGCGGGGAGCCACAGGCCUCAGACGGCGCUCAGAGGAAGCAGAGCACAUACGCCCCCCCAUCAAUGAAAGGUAAACCUUGGGCUGGGGGUGGAGCAACAUCUCCUGGGGGCGGGGCUCUGUGAAACAGACAGCCAGCUGAGCCCAAUCACAGCGCAACUGUAUGCCACCGGUUACACGUGGGCCAAUCACAAUCAGCCAGAGGAAGCCAAUGGGAAUGAGGCGUGUUUGCUGUUAACCAAUCAGGAGAGAGGCGUGGCAGAGAGCAACAGCUCAGGGGGUAAACUGGAAAGAACUGUACCUGAGGAAGAAGAGGGGGAAAGCAGCCAUCAGGGAUGACUGAUCGUCACCAGCAGCAAAGAUACGCACAGAAGAAGCAGGCAUAUAUUUUGAAGUUUGGAAAAAUCAAGAUGAAUGCCUACAUCAAAUCAAAUAUAGUACUAACAUGACAGGGAAUCUAUCAGAGUGAUAGCUCACACAGUGUUACAAAAGAAAAUCCUUUUUUUUUAUGUGAGCAUGUAAACAAACUGUACCUGCUGAAGUUUUCCAGAAGCAUCUCACCAUCAUGUUCUACACACAAACUAUCAGUUUACACACUUAUUGUUCCAACCCUUAUAUCUGUAUCAGUGAGCUUAUUCUGAGAGACAGUACAAAAUCAAAAUGGUGUUCACCAUUCUAUUCUUACAUUGUUAAGUGUUUCGUUUCUAAUCUAUAUGACAAUUAGGCAACCAAAUGCCCUUUAAAAAGUGACGGAAAAGAAUUUGAGGCUGUAAGUUUUUUAGACUUUUCUUAAGUUUCAAGAUUAUGCAAACAAAAAAAUGCUUAGGAUAUAAAGUGUGCAUUUUUAAUUGUUUGUCAAUUAGCCGCUUUCUGCAACGGGAUAGUCACGUUAGCUAGCUAUAGCAGUUAGCUAAACUUACAAAGGUCAAAGAUUUGAAAGAAAUGAAAAAAUAAUUGUUAAACUGACAAAUAUUAAUAUUUUCAUUUUAUGUAUAAGAUGAAACCGUAAAAAGCUUAAUAAAAAUAGACACUUAAAAAUGAUUUUCUCCCACUUCCAGUUUUAAAUGACACAUUAGCUUGAGCUAAUCUUAGUUUAAUUAGCAGGGACAGUGGGGUAAAAUGAGCCUUUUUUUCUUAUUUUACUUAUGUUGUUAUCUAGGCAUGUACAAAUGACAUGUGACUGUAACAAAAACGCUUAUCUUUAUUUCAGGAUGUCUUUUUUCAGUUGAAAUGCAAAUCAUCACAUGAGGAACAAAUUGGUCCUGUGGUUCUAUUUGCCCGGUAAACUGACCGCCUCCAUAAGCUGAACAUCCUACCAACACAGCUACUUUCUUCCCAGAAUUUAGAGACAGAGAUUCUGUUUCUUUCUGCUAAUUCAAAUGGCAAUUUAGAGCAUUUUUAAAGUCAGGCGAUGGAAGCAGUGUUUACCCCACAGCCACCAACUGGCCUACUGGCUUAGCAAAUUAAAUGUAUGCCAUACUUGUAGAUGAUUUCCCAUCUACAUGCAUGGUGUACAUUUUAAGAGCUAGGCAAAUUUGCUCUCAAGUCCUUACAGCUGAAAUGUUAAGCAAAAACUUACGUUGACAUACAAAAACACUUUUUUAAAAAAGAAAAAGAACAAAACUAAAACUAAACAAAUUUGUCACACCUAAACAAUAUUUUAGUAAGAUAAACAAAGUGCUCAGACCUCAACAGAAAAUGAAUCUGUAAAUGAGUGUUUGAAAUAUGAAAAGGAAAGAUACACAUCAAUUAGAUUGGGAUUUGGGUCAUGUUUCAAAAAUACUGUAUUUAGCCCCAUUUAAUGAAUGGAAACAUCAAAGUCUGCUGUUGAGUGAAAGCCACUGAUGUUUGUGUUCUGACUUACUAUGAAACUAGAAUGAAUGAAAAACAAUGUGAUUCAUGAAAGACUCAGUUUAUGUUGUAUCUAACACUUCCAUUUUAAAGUUUUUAUUUGUAAGUGAAACUAACCUAAAAAAAAAAAAAAAAAAGAAGUCUUUUUUUUACAACCGGCUGUCCUGGAUAAUUUCUACCAUUCUUAAAUUGGUAUCAGGGUCACACUCUGGGAAACCCUGAAGUGUUUACUAAUUCAGAUAAGAUGAACAAUAUGUUAUCAUAUUGUGCCUUUGCAAUUUCUACAUCAGGCAGUGAUAUUUAACUGACUACAUGUUUUUACAUAAACUGUUUUUAAUAAGAGCAGAUUCAGCAGGAUAAUAUUUUGAACAUACAAUGUGCAUCUGAUUUCAUAUUAUCCUGAACACCCAUACAAAGCGUUAACAAGCGCUGUUUUUGAGUCUUAGUAAGAGUUUGAAUAGAGUGCCCCCUGCUGGCUUCUGCCAGACAGCAGCGCUCUUUCUGGGUUGGGUUAGUUUUUAGCUCUAUUUUUUUUUACCCAGGGUGUCGUUCCACUGUUCCGCAGAAAUAUGUACCAUCUGCAAAUGGUUUUAUAGCUUUUAUUUAAAAGAAACCAACAUACAAGAGUGAAAACAAAAUGUUCAAAAUUAUUUUUUGCAAUCAUCAAAAGUGUUGUUUUGGUGGAUUUGUGUUUAAAUCUUUUUAAUUUAUUUUCAGUUUCUUCUGACAAUACAUAAAUGUAAUGUUUUCAAGCUAAAACGUUAACAGACUCAAGUCCAGAGUCCUAACUGUAGUCAGUGGAGGAAGCUGCACAUUAGGGUGAUGGUGAGACUUUCCCACAUUAAAACACCAAAGAUGCAUUGAGUCAGAAUACAAGUUAAAACAAGUACAAAUCUGGUCAACCAAUCAUAAUUACUGGAAGGCUUCAACAGAUUUUUCUGUUGAUCAUUGGGGAAAGAAGGUGGAAACCAUUGUUUCCACCUUUGCCUUUUAAAACAAAAUGCAAGACAAAAAGGCCUUCCCCCCCAAAACUGAUGCUACUUUCACAUUGCUUUAUGUUUUGAAAAACAUAUUUUUAUUUAGAAACAUAUUUCCAAUUAGAAACUAAUCAACUGAAUGAUAGUUGAUUAGCUGUACUGACAGGAGUGUGAAUAAUUUUGGAGUUAACUGUACAUCUCAAAACUGAGCGGGAACCUUGUCUGUCUGAGUGACAGUCAGCAGACACAGCGUACACCUGAGAUUAAUUAGUCUACAAUAAUGUGUGAUUUCAAUGAAAGGAGUCUCUGUGGAAUCAUUGUAUCCUCCCAGAUAACUGUAGGAUAUGACCCCUGGCUGUGUGAAAACCCAAAAUGUGGCCCCAAGCAGCUUGUAAUGGAUCUAGGAGCUGUUCUCUACCUGGUCACCUUCACUUAAUGUUUUAGCAGUAGAAUAGAACAGAGUAGAAUAGAAUAUACUUUAUAUACUUAAAGGUUGGGCACACUAGCAGCUGCCAUUAAUACUCCACAAAUGCUCUCUGGUGCCAAACGUACCCUACCAGCCAUUUUCAAUACAAUGCACUCGUAUCAAACUGGAUCCAAAUCAAAAGAUUUCAUCUGGAUGAUUAACUGUUUUUAAUCACUACACAUUUUGUACUUACCUCUGCUCUACAGGUCAGUAGAUCCAUCAGAAACCAUUGCUGUUAUGAGCAGGUAAAGUCUGUCCUAAACAGUCGUUGGUAUUCAUGCUUUCUUUUCCUGGUUCAACAUAACCAGAUCAUUAGUAGCCUGGUAAAAUCCAGGCCUUGUUCUGCACCUUACUUCAUCCAGAGGGUCUGGACCCCAGCUGUGGGGAAAUGAUCACUUCCUUGAGGUGUGGACUCUGUUAAAAUCUUUAAUUUUACUCCAUUGCUAAAUGUUUGCUUAUCAGACGUGUGUAAUUAGUUAUUAUACUGGCAUUACACCAAUUCAUGAUCUGUUACACACCCGACAUCUAACUGACAUUUGCGUGCUCCACCUGAGCGUCGCACUAAGAUUGCAGGACGGUUCAAAGGUUAAUAUGCUGUUUAUACAAGAACCUCUAAAUAAAUAAAAAGUAUAUAUAUAUAUAUAUAUAUACACUAAGAUAAAAAUAAAAAAAUAUACAUGUGACAAUUAAAAUAAAAUACUGCAGAUGUUUUUCAUUUGUCCCUUUAAAUCCUAAUACCAAACUGUAAAUAUACAGCUGAUAAGAAGAAUCCAGUGAAAACACCACCAGGAGUGUUUACAUAUAUAUAUUUAUUUAGUCUUAUUGCAGCUCCAGGUUUUUGUAGUUUCACAGGUCAGAGGUGGAUUAGCGUUUGAGUUGCUUUUUCAUCAGAGGAACUGGUUGAAUUUAUUUCCUGUUAAUAAAGUUAAGCACAACGGAUUAAUAAAACCUCGGAGUGUGGAUGCUCAGCUUUCAACUUCACGAGUGUAAAAACGGGGCGAGGAAAACACCAAGUCUGCUCCGAUAAGGCCCUCCGAAGAGGGAACAGCUGAGGGGAAUGUCUGCAGCCGUUCCUGUCACUUGUUCCCUCAAAGUUUUUGUUCCUGCUAACAAAGCUGCCGCACAGUCGCACUUAAAAAAAAAA